GAGGGUAUAGCUCAAGUGGUAGAGUGAGUGCAGGCUUAGCAUGCUCAAGGUCCUGGGUUCAAUCCCCAGUACCUCCA
rnacentral:tRNA from 1 species